UACGUAGGGGGCAAGCGUUGUCCGGAUUUAUUGGGCGUAAAGAGCGUGUAGGCGGCUUUGCAAGUCCGUUGUGAAAACUCGAGGCUCAACCUCGAGACGCCGGUGGAAACUGCAAAGCUAGAGUCCGGAAGAGGAGAGUGGAAUUCCUGGUGUAGCGGUGAAAUGCGCAGAUAUCGGGAAGAACACCCGUGGCGAAGGCGGUUCUCUGGGACGGUACUGACGCUGAGACGCGAAAGCGUGGGGAGCGAACAGG
rnacentral:rRNA from 1 species